rnacentral:tRNA from 1 species
GGAGGGAUGGGUCGCGAGGGUUAGUCUCAGCUGUUCGACGCGGAAUGAUCGAAAAUCGUGGGUUUGACUCCCACUCUCUCCGCCA